rnacentral:rRNA from 1 species
UUAAGCGACUAAGCGUACACGGUGGAUGCCCUGGCAGUCAGAGGCGAUGAAGGACGUGCUAAUCUGCGAUAAGCGUCGGUAAGGUGAUAUGAACCGUUAUAACCGGCGAUUUCCGAAUGGGGAAACCCAGUGUGUUUCGACACACUAUCAUUAACUGAAUCCAUAGGUUAAUGAGGCGAACCGGGGGAACUGAAACAUCUAAGUACCCCGAGGAAAAGAAAUCAACCGAGAUUCCCCCAGUAGCGGCGAGCGAACGGGGAGCAGCCCAGAGCCUGAAUCAGUGUGUGUGUUAGUGGAAGCGUCUGGAAAGGCGCGCGAUACAGGGUGACAGCCCCGUACACAAAAAUACACAUACUGUGAGCUCGAUGAGUAGGGCGGGACACGUGGUAUCCUGUCUGAAUAUGGGGGGACCAUCCUCCAAGGCUAAAUACUCCUGACUGACCGAUAGUGAACCAGUACCGUGAGGGAAAGGCGAAAAGAACCCCGGCGAGGGGAGUGAAAAAGAACCUGAAACCGUGUACGUACAAGCAGUGGGAGCACGCUUAGGCGUGUGACUGCGUACCUUUUGUAUAAUGGGUCAGCGACUUAUAUUCUGUAGCAAGGUUAACCGAAUAGGGGAGCCGAAGGGAAACCGAGUCUUAACUGGGCGUUAAGUUGCAGGGUAUAGACCCGAAACCCGGUGAUCUAGCCAUGGGCAGGUUGAAGGUUGGGUAACACUAACUGGAGGACCGAACCGACUAAUGUUGAAAAAUUAGCGGAUGACUUGUGGCUGGGGGUGAAAGGCCAAUCAAACCGGGAGAUAGCUGGUUCUCCCCGAAAGCUAUUUAGGUAGCGCCUCGUGAAUUCAUCUCCGGGGGUAGAGCACUGUUUCGGCAAGGGGGUCAUCCCGACUUACCAACCCGAUGCAAACUGCGAAUACCGGAGAAUGUUAUCACGGGAGACACACGGCGGGUGCUAACGUCCGUCGUGAAGAGGGAAACAACCCAGACCGCCAGCUAAGGUCCCAAAGUCAUGGUUAAGUGGGAAACGAUGUGGGAAGGCCCAGACAGCCAGGAUGUUGGCUUAGAAGCAGCCAUCAUUUAAAGAAAGCGUAAUAGCUCACUGGUCGAGUCGGCCUGCGCGGAAGAUGUAACGGGGCUAAACCAUGCACCGAAGCUGCGGCAGCGACGCUUAUGCGUUGUUGGGUAGGGGAGCGUUCUGUAAGCCUGCGAAGGUGUGCUGUGAGGCAUGCUGGAGGUAUCAGAAGUGCGAAUGCUGACAUAAGUAACGAUAAAGCGGGUGAAAAGCCCGCUCGCCGGAAGACCAAGGGUUCCUGUCCAACGUUAAUCGGGGCAGGGUGAGUCGACCCCUAAGGCGAGGCCGAAAGGCGUAGUCGAUGGGAAACAGGUUAAUAUUCCUGUACUUGGUGUUACUGCGAAGGGGGGACGGAGAAGGCUAUGUUGGCCGGGCGACGGUUGUCCCGGUUUAAGCGUGUAGGCUGGUUUUCCAGGCAAAUCCGGAAAAUCAAGGCUGAGGCGUGAUGACGAGGCACUACGGUGCUGAAGCAACAAAUGCCCUGCUUCCAGGAAAAGCCUCUAAGCAUCAGGUAACAUCAAAUCGUACCCCAAACCGACACAGGUGGUCAGGUAGAGAAUACCAAGGCGCUUGAGAGAACUCGGGUGAAGGAACUAGGCAAAAUGGUGCCGUAACUUCGGGAGAAGGCACGCUGAUAUGUAGGUGAAGCGACUUGCUCGUGGAGCUGAAAUCAGUCGAAGAUACCAGCUGGCUGCAACUGUUUAUUAAAAACACAGCACUGUGCAAACACGAAAGUGGACGUAUACGGUGUGACGCCUGCCCGGUGCCGGAAGGUUAAUUGAUGGGGUUAGCGCAAGCGAAGCUCUUGAUCGAAGCCCCGGUAAACGGCGGCCGUAACUAUAACGGUCCUAAGGUAGCGAAAUUCCUUGUCGGGUAAGUUCCGACCUGCACGAAUGGCGUAAUGAUGGCCAGGCUGUCUCCACCCGAGACUCAGUGAAAUUGAACUCGCUGUGAAGAUGCAGUGUACCCGCGGCAAGACGGAAAGACCCCGUGAACCUUUACUAUAGCUUGACACUGAACAUUGAGCCUUGAUGUGUAGGAUAGGUGGGAGGCUUUGAAGUGUGGACGCCAGUCUGCAUGGAGCCGACCUUGAAAUACCACCCUUUAAUGUUUGAUGUUCUAACGUGGACCCGUAAUCCGGGUUGCGGACAGUGUCUGGUGGGUAGUUUGACUGGGGCGGUCUCCUCCUAAAGAGUAACGGAGGAGCACGAAGGUUGGCUAAUCCUGGUCGGACAUCAGGAGGUUAGUGCAAUGGCAUAAGCCAGCUUGACUGCGAGCGUGACGGCGCGAGCAGGUGCGAAAGCAGGUCAUAGUGAUCCGGUGGUUCUGAAUGGAAGGGCCAUCGCUCAACGGAUAAAAGGUACUCCGGGGAUAACAGGCUGAUACCGCCCAAGAGUUCAUAUCGACGGCGGUGUUUGGCACCUCGAUGUCGGCUCAUCACAUCCUGGGGCUGAAGUAGGUCCCAAGGGUAUGGCUGUUCGCCAUUUAAAGUGGUACGCGAGCUGGGUUUAGAACGUCGUGAGACAGUUCGGUCCCUAUCUGCCGUGGGCGCUGGAGAACUGAGGGGGGCUGCUCCUAGUACGAGAGGACCGGAGUGGACGCAUCACUGGUGUUCGGGUUGUCAUGCCAAUGGCACUGCCCGGUAGCUAAAUGCGGAAGAGAUAAGUGCUGAAAGCAUCUAAGCACGAAACUUGCCCCGAGAUGAGUUCUCCCUGACUCCUUGAGAGUCCUGAAGGAACGUUGAAGACGACGACGUUGAUAGGCCGGGUGUGUAAGCGCAGCGAUGCGUUGAGCUAACCGGUACUAAUGAACCGUGAGGCUUAACCUU